CGCGGGGUGGAGCAGUCUGGUAGCUCGUCGGGCUCGUGGCCCGAAGGUCGUUGGUUAAUCCAGCCCCCGCAA
rnacentral:tRNA from 1 species